rnacentral:rRNA from 1 species
CCUACGGGAGGCUGCAGUGGGGAAUAUUGGGCAAUGGAGGAAACUCUGACCCAGCAAAGCCGCGUGAAUGAUGAAGGUCUUCGGAUUGUAAAGUUCUUUUCUAAGGGAAGAAGAAAGUGACGGUACCUUAGGAAUAAGCCUCGGCUAACUACGUGCAAGCAGCCGCGGUAAUACGUAGGCGGCAAGCGUUAUCCGGAAUGACUGGGCGUAAAGGGUGCGUAGGUGGUUUGAUAAGUUGGUAGCGUAACUCCGAGGCUCAACCUCGGCACUACUGCCAAAACUGUCGGACUUGAGUGCAGGAGGGGCAAGUGGAAUGCCUAGUGUAGCGGUGGAAGGCGUAGAUAUUAGGAGGAACACCAGUUGCGAAGGCGAGUUGCUGGACUGUAACUGACACUGAGGCACGAAAGCGUGGGGAGCAAACAGGAUUAGAUACCCGGGUAGUC